AAUGAGGGAGAUGAUGUAUUUUAUUGUGAAUAUGAGUAUGACAUUCACUGGCACAACUUCAAGCGUCUAACAGAUAUU
rnacentral:snoRNA from 1 species